UCGCUGGAAGACUAGUGGUUAUGCCAUUGUACUCUCACCACCGCCGCCCGGGUUCGAUUCCCGGCCAGGGGA